rnacentral:rRNA from 1 species
UCGGAUUGUAGUCUGCAACCCGACUACAUGAAGCUGGAAUCGCUAGUAAUCGCGAAUCAGAAUGUCGCGGUGAAUACGUUCCCGGGUCUUGUACACACCGCCCGUCACACCAUGGGAGUCGGAAAUGCCCGAAGUCAGUGACCCAACCGCAAGGAGGGAGCUGCCGAAGGUGGAGCCGGUAACUGGGGUGAAGUCGUAACAAGGUAAC